rnacentral:rRNA from 1 species
AUACCCUAUUAUUUUAGAUGUUAAUUAUUUAACCUGAGUAGUAAUAGAUAUGAUCUUGAAACUUAAAGAAUUUGGCAGUAUUUUAUUCUGUUCAGAGGAACCUGUUCUUUUAUCGAUAAUCCUCGUUGGACCUUACUUAAUUUAUUGAUUUGUAUACCGCCGUUGUAUUGAGGAUCUUUGUAGUGUUUUAAUUUUCUGGUUUUUUUAUUUUAAAUUAUUUCAGGUCAAGGUGCAAUUUAUGAUUAAGUAGAAAUGGGUUACUUUUUUAUUUAUUUUUGGAUUUUUAGAUGAAAUUUUAAUAUGAAAUUGGAUUUGAAUGUAAUUUUUAUUUUAGAUUGUAUUGAUGAUUUAGUUUCUAAAUGUGUACACAUCGCCC